rnacentral:rRNA from 1 species
UACGAAGGGGGCUAGCGUUGCUCGGAAUCACUGGGCGUAAAGCGCACGUAGGCGGACUCUUAAGUCGGUGGUGAAAUCCUGGAGCUCAACUCCAGAACUGCCUUCGAUACUGGGAGUCUCGAGUUCGGGAGAGGUGAGUGGAACUGCGAGUGUAGAGGUGAAAUUCGUAGAUAUUCGCAAGAACACCAGUGGCGAAGGCGGCUCACUGGCCCGAUACUGACGCUGAGGUGCGAAAGCGUGGGGGAGCAAACAGG